rnacentral:rRNA from 1 species
UACGUAGGGCGCAAGCGUUGUCCGGAAUUAUUGGGCGUAAAGAGCUCGUAGGCGGUUUGUCGCGUCUGCCGUGAAAACCCGAGGCUUAACCUCGGGCCUGCGGUGGAUACGGGCAGACUAGAGGUAGGUAGGGGAGAAUGGAAUUCCCGGUGUAGCGGUGAAAUGCGCAGAUAUCGGGAGGAACACCGGUGGCGAAGGCGGUUCUCUGGGCCUUACCUGACGCUGAGGAGCGAAGCGUGGGGAGCGAACAGG